rnacentral:rRNA from 1 species
UACAGAGGAGCCAAGCGUUGUCCGGAUUGACUGGGCGUAAAGCGCACGCAGGCGGUUGCGCGCGUGGGGCGGGAAAUCUGGCCGCUUAACGGCCAGGCGCCAUCCCAUACGGCGCGACUGGAGUGAUGCAGAGGUCGAUGGAAUUGCCGGUGUAGUGGUGAAAUGCGUAGAGAUCGGCAGGAACACCCAGGGGGAAACCAGUCGACUGGGCAUCUACUGACGCUGAGGUGCGAGAGCGUGGGGAGCGAACCGG